GUGGGGGUUCACGUUGAGGUGUUGUGAUUUUUUCACAGAUCGAUGUUCCAUGGAUUUGACCUUUCGAGAAAAUAUUUGAGAUUCUUGAUGACGAAAUCAACUGCCAAGGCAAUUACAUACCAAAAUCUCUCCGGGAUACUCAAGACCACAGGAUACCUCCACUACCAAUAAAGACUUAAAACUGCAGUGUCUUAAUCUUGUUGAUGUAAACCUAGGCUACAAACUUGAAGCUGCACCAAAUUUUCUGAACCGACACCGUAGUCUGGACAUCGUUGCAAUUCCAAUGUCCAUGAAGAGUCGGUAAAUUAUCCUUUGAAGUAACGUUGGAUAUAUUCUGAAUUUCUGGCUUACAAAACCCAAACGAAUAAUAGACAAUAAAAGUUAAUCAAAACUCAA